AGAGAAAUGAGACUCCCUCACAGGAGUAUGAUACAACUCUGAUCACCAGAACAUUCUUCAGAACAUUGGGAGAAGAUUUGUCUCUAGAGCAAGGUCUUAGAACACACUCACUGCUACACAUAUUACAUGACCUUUUUAUUUUUCAAAUAAAAGGUUAAAAAAACUAGAUACCCCCUUUUAACAGUAAUGUAUAAAGGUUUGCCAAUCCUUUAUGGUUGUUUACUUUUAGGCUACAACUCUAUUUAGUGUAUUCUAGCUAUCUUCAAAAGGCUUGUAUUGUCUUUCCUCUCUCUUCUGUAUGUUAUUUCAAAUAGAAGAACUAAGACACCUCAUUGUUUACUCCGGUGACUAGCAGGCACUUAAGUAAGACCUAAAUUGUCUAAAAGGAAACAAAAAUGCCUGUGAAUGUCGGCACUGAUAUUUGCAAUGUUGCAUUGUAAAUACUUUUAAGCACAGUGAAGGUACACUAACUACGGCAGCUGUGCCCUUCGUGUCAAAGUAUGGUAUUUUUAGCAAUAAAUUUGUAUUUGAACAAGAAUUAUCUAAUGUUGUCAAAAUUUGAUUUUAAAAAUCUGUCAAAUUAUCAUUUGGUUGAAUUUACCAUCAUGAUUUUAUAGGCUGGAGGUCGGGAAAUGAAAACGUGGUCGAAAUCGUAUAAGCGUCAAAUUAUUGUGUCAAAUUAACAAGGUUAUACUGUAUAUUAUUCCACUAAAAAAUUGACCCUGUUUUACCCAAGUUUUGUUUGAGUAAGUGUGUUCCCAAUCAAUAUUGUUUUAUCAAAAGUGUUUUUUUUUUUUUUUUUAUUAUCCCUAGUACACGUGGUACAGGCCAUGGUAAUCAUGGUGAGUAGUUAGCGACUGCUUUUACUGUAAGUGCACCACAUGUCUACACAUGUGAAAAGCAGUUCGACUUUGCACUUACAAAUGUGCCAGCGCCCCGUUUGGUUACUUGCACUCUCUGGUGGGGUUGGACUUUUGCAAGAAUCGGGGGCCAUUGGAGCAGUGUUUAUUUUAGUAGUAGUACUCUAGCAGUGUGUGUAGUAAUAGUGAAGAUGUAUUAAAAUGAAACCUUUUAUAACUGUAACUUGGUUAUAUAUAGCAUCAUAAAGUACCAAGGUGAAAUAAUGGUCAACCUCAGUAUUGGGUGGAUUGUCAACCUUUAUACCUUACUGUUAAAAGGGGUAUCUAGUUUUUUUUUUUUAUAACCUUUUAUUUAAAAAAAAAAAAGGUUAUGUAAUGUGUGAGUAAUAAUUUUCUACCAUCAGGGUAGCAGUGAGACUUCACCCUAGAGAGCAAAUCUUCUCCCAAUGUUCUGAAGAAUGUUCUGGUAAUCAGAGUUGUAUCAUACUCCUGUGAGGGAGUCUCAUUUCUCUAAUAAUUUAUAGGACAGCAAUUAAAGUCUUUUGAAAAAGCUCACAUCAAAACCUAUGAUGAGCAAUCACCCACACACACCUUUGUAAAAUUAUAAAAUCCUUUAAACAGUCAACUCUUGAUCAUUUAGAAAAUCUGGUACCAAUACUUAGCUCCUCAAGUGGGAACAUGGUACAGUAGAAGCCUUCUGUAAAAGACACCCAAUGGCUGAGCCAAAGUGUUCUUUAUAGAGAGGUGUCCUCUUAUACUGGAGAACAACUAAAUCGUGAAAAUUGAUAACUUUGGCAAUGAAAACUGUCCUUUGUUGAGAGGUGUCUUCUCAUGGAGGUUCUACUAUACAGAUGAUGUUUGGUUACUUUCAUUCAAACUGGUGCCAUUGUUAGGCCUGUACAAGAGUCAUUAAAGUCCCUAUAUAUUUAAAAUACUCCACUGUACAGUAGAACCUCCCUUUAGCGGACACCUCUCCACAAAGGGCAGUUUUCAUUUGCAAAAUGACCAUUUUUACAAUUUAGCAACUCUCCGGUAAGAGGACACCUCUCCCUAAAGGACACUUUGGCUCUGCAAUUAGGUGUCCUUUACAGGGAGGUUCUACUGUAUAUUAAAAUUCAUAUAAACUAAAACACCUUUAGGGUAGGUACAAUUUGGAUAAGAAACUAACAAAUCCAGCUAAAUAAAUGACAGUAUGACCUUGUUAAUUCGACACGUGGUAAUUCGACCAUGUUUUCAUGUCUUGGUGACCAUCUUAUCAAAUAACAAAGAUCAAUUCAAGCAAACGAUAAUUCAACCGUUUUAAAAAUAAAAUUUUGACAUUAAAUAAUUAUUGAUUAAAUACAAAAAAAAAAUCUAAAAAUGGAAUAUGUUGGCACGCGGGGCACUGCGGCCAUAGUUAGUGUAUAUCGACCCUACAACUGCAAACUAUCGAAUGUGAAAAAUUCAAUUUUGAAGGAGAGAGAAAUGAAGAGACCAUGUGGCCUACCCUCAGUAGAGGAAGGCAUUGAAGGAGGGAGAAAUGAAGAGACCAUGACAUGGUCUCUUCAUUUCUCCCUCCUUCAAUGCCUUCCUCUACUGAGGGUAGGCCACAUGGUCUCUUCAUUUCUCUCUCCUUCAAAAUUGAAUUUUUCACAUUCGAUAGUUUGCAGUUGUAGGGACGAUAUGCACUAUGCUUUUAAAAUGUCAUGAUGUGUUGGAAAUAUCAGUGCCAAAGGUGGGCGAUUUUUGUUUUUAAUCCUGUAUGAUUUAGGCCUAAAUUCUUAAGCAGCGGUAGUCAUGGAAGUAAACAAUGUGGUAGCUUAGAGAAUAAUGUUUUCCCAUUUGAAAUAAUUAAAAGGAAAGACUACAAGCCUUUUGAAGAUUGAUCAGCUAGAAUGCACACUGAAUAGAGUUCUAGUUAAAAAACAAAUAACCAUAAAAGAUUUCUUUAAAAGAUAAUGAUUUUUAAAAAUAAAAUUUUCAGCCUUUCCUUUAUUUUUAAAAUUAUUUGCUUCCCAAUGCAUUUUAUUCACUUAGAUUAAAUUAGUAUUUGUAAAUUUUCCUUUGUUCAAAUAUAUUAUACUAAAAAUUAAUCAUGAAACACAUUCUGAAAAAAUCAAAUAUAUUACACAAAAGUAUUUUCUAAAAUUAUUAUUUUAAUUAUAUAUUUGACUAGCGGGUGUACCCGGCUCCGCCCGGGUUUUACUCGAGGGAAUGUUUGUAGUCUAGUAUGUUGAUAUAAUAAAUCUAUCUGAAUAUUCUGUCCAUUUUCAAGGUGAACAGCUAAGUGUACAAUAGGAGGUGAUCUUUCAUGGAUGCUGAAACCCAGAAUCCUCCAAACAGCUUCUGCGGAACUUAUAUAGCGGCCAGACUGAAAUUGGGUAACCUCAUCAAGGUGAUUCAAAGAGAAAACUGCCUGAUCAGUUCCCUUAUUAAUGUAUUUGCACACGUAUUUGAUGGCCUUCACGGAGCUGCAGUAUUCCACAUUUAUAUGGGAAUCAAAAGCACAAAGGAGAACAGAAUUAUAGGGCACAAUCCAGCGAUUGUCAAUUUCAAAAGUAACUCCUCGCAUAUUCACCGAUGAAGUAAGACCACCUUCAGCAGAGCACCGUCUUCGGUAUCGGGGAUAACCAUCUUCUGUUGUCGAAGUUGUCUCACAAAAACCUUUAGGAUAUUUUUUGCUACAUUUCCCAUCCUUCAUACAUGGAGAAUUUGUAUUCAGAACCCCACAUGGACCAUGAACCAUUUGUUUCAUGACAAUUGCAUGAAGCUCUGGGUCUAAGUUAAUAUCCGGAAUCUCGGCUUGUAUGACCUCAUCAAUUUGAUUAGGUCUAAUUAUGUUCGUAAGCCAAAGCAGUAAAUGCGCAUGUGGCAGACCACGCUUCUGCCACUCUAUUGUGAACAUAAAACACUUGCAAGGCCCAAAUAGCUCAGCCUUAGUCACUAAAUAGAUAAGCUUUUUCAUUUUAAGGUGAAAAACACGACUAAGCAAAUCAUAUCUAUCUUUAGCAGAGUUAUUUGAAAAUAAAUGCAUCUGAAUUUCUUUCCAUUGAGGGUUGCAUGUAAAUGUUAUAAAAAGCUGAGGCCUUCCAUAGCUAUGAACAUAAGUCAUUGCAUCUUGGGUACGCUCAUGCAGAUAAUGGGGACCACCAGUAAAUGAUGAUGGCAGUAUGACUAUUUGGCCUAUAUUGGCUAAAUUCUCAUCUGCUCGCAGAGCAUCUUGCAGGUGAAUAUAAUUUUCUGUCUGAAGCUUUUUCUGAUUGCGCCGUAUGAAGGAAAGCCUUUCUGUUUCAACCUUAGCAUACAUAUCAACCCAGAAUUGAUUUGUAAGCAUGCCAUAACGCAGUAGUGAGUUAAAUUCCCCAGCACGAGCCAUCAUUCUGUAAGCAUAAAAAUUCAUGCACGAUACAGUCUUCUGCAUUAUUUCUCUAGUGGAUAGAUUGACUUGAGGUAGCGAAACAGAAUAACCGACCUCACCCCUGCAAAAAAUUAACGGGUAUUGUAGAGGAUCAUAUGCUUGAUGGAUCUCGGAUAUCCUUUGUGUCAAAUUAUUACGACAAUGUAAUAAAAUAUCUCUUGGCCCAAAUUCCUGACCUACCAUCAGCAGAGCUACUUCAUUGGUCAUGGGCGCAUUGUAGCGACGCUCAUGCUCUUCUGGUGGAAGCUUAUCAGAGUGUAUAAUAAUCCGGUAGUCAGCGUGAUUUUGAGGAAGAGUUUCUAAGGCUGCUUUAAAGGAUUGAAUAUAAUGAUUGUGCGCAUGCAAUAAAUCUUGCAAAGAGCGAACUAAAUCUCUGUUCAAGUUUUCUGUCAUGUUGCAACGUGCAGUAACCUGAGACUCAUAAUUAUCGAAAAAGUAUAUCUGCAGGAAUUUGUGCUCACUAUCAGGUUCUGGAAGGAGACUACCAAUUACGUGGUAAACUUGGCCUUGGACUUUGAAAGUAGGCAUAUAACCUUGCUCCACAACUUGUCUAGCACCAAAAGAUGUCAUUUGGAAUAUAGAGUUAUAUCUACGGAUAUGCAGCAAGAAGGACUUCGAUAGAGGAUGUUGGCCAGAGAGCAAAGAGAAAAUAGGUUCUGGAGGGGACUCAAUAGCAGGUAGAGAAACUCUACCUUGUUUACAACAGAGGCCAAAGGGUUCAUCUUUAAAUCUCAAAGCAGAGCAAAACUGGCAUACCCGAGACAUUUGGCCUAUAUCGACAGAUGAAUCAGCUUUAUAAUCAAUAUGGGCAUUAUACUGCAAACCUGAAAACGGCUUAUGAGUCCAAAGCUGAAUACGCUGAACAGGAACUUGCAUAGUUUGUGUAGCUGCGACGCGGGCUUCAGAAUACCUAAGACGGCGAAGCGCACGACGCGUCUCACUUUGAAGUGGUGUCUCAAUAGCUCUAGCAUUCCUAUAUCUCCUGGAAGCAGCCGUAUUCCUACCAAGUAAACGUCGGCUGUGGCGAGGCAUAUUCUGAAAAAAAAUUUAGAUUGAGAUUAAUAACAAAAGCUUCAAAACCAGCAAUUUCUAAACAAAGCAUAAAAAUUUCCUGUCUUUUUGGGGUAAAAAUCAAAAUUUUUAAAUUUUUUAUUCAAAAUAACCUUCAUAUAUGUUAAAAAGAUUUUAAAAAACUAAAAUCAUAAUAUUAUAUUACCAAAAAAUUAAUGUACAAAACCAGUUAUCAUUAAAAAGCUUCAAAAAUAGACCAACCGCUGGAUACGGCAAUGAAAAAGCAUGCUUUUUUUGAGGUAAAAAAUAGAAAUAAUUUUCUAAAAUACAAAAUACAACCCCUAUAUGUUAAAAAAAUAUAUAUAUAUAAAUAAUUUAAAUAUAAAAUAUUUAAUCAAAUAAAUGAAUCCGUAAAAGAAAUCCCUUGCUUAUUUAAAAAUAUAAAUAACCUAUUUUUUAGAUACAACCCAUAUAUGUAGAAAAUAUAAUAAAUAAACUGUAUUUAAAAGAUCAAAGCAAUAAUUAAAAAAUUCCAUAAGAAAAUUUAAAAAAGGACCUC